GAGAGAGAGAGAGCAAGACUUCUAAGAACACUUGUGGUAUCACAGUGACAUAACGGUAUCAAACAGUCGACUUCAGAUGAUCGUCAGUAUGGUGAUGUUACAAAUGGUAUUCGUUGUUUUUGGACUACAGGGCGUUGUUGGGCAAGGUUUCACGUACUUUGGACCAAAGUCAACCGGCGCAGACGACGCGGCAUCCAUCGUGGCCUGUCCUC